CUUGGAAGGCUUGUUUGGGCCGGGACUAGUCAACAACAACAACAACACCACCCUGUUCCAAGACUGCGAGCCCGAAGAAGCGUCCGACUGGUCCUUCGAUGAAAACUGUCUCUUCUGCUGCCUGAGACGCGAGAAAGUCAAGGAGCACAGCGGUGGAGGCAGCCAGGUGCCGUCGGAGCGGGCUCGGGUCAGCCGGCUGGAGAGACAGGCCCAA
rnacentral:lncRNA from 1 species